UAAUUAUAAUAAGAGAUGAGAAAAAAAUGAGAGAAAUUGAAGAAAAAGAUAAAAAAAAAGAAAGUAAUGAUUGUGUUGUUGAAUUGAGAAAAAGGUAAAAUAAAGUUAGUUUCAUCUUAUAAAAAUAUCACAAAUAGAGCUUGUUCAUCCAUUUUUAACAAAACCAAUAAUCCAUAAGCACUGACAUUUAAACUCAUUCAAUAAAACAAUAUCACGUGUCAUAAUGUUGCAAUACUUGAUCCUUAUUUUAAAAAUACGAAAAUCAUUUCAUGCUCAAAUAAGGUGAUUAUUUUUCAAUAACUUAACAUUUCGAAUAACUUUCAUGACAUGUAUAGAAAUUUCAUUUCACCAUUUCACAGACCAUAGAAAUAAGUUCGUGUUACUUACCUCGAUUGUCUCCAAAUUAUCAACUCAUAGAUGAAGAUCCGGAUCAAAAAAAUAAACCUAAAAUUGAAAUAUGAGUCAACUACUAAUUCUAAUUUCUAAUGCAACCUUAGAUAAUACUAAAAGGUCCUUGAGGUAAGAAAAAGUCUAAAAUGCCCCUAUUUGCCGAUAAAGGGUCAUGACUGAAUCUGAAUAGUCUAAACAUAAUUCACCAAAACACGGCACUUUUAAAAUCAAUAUUAUGGUUCGAGAUUCAAAUUUUCGAAAAAAAUAAUAUUUUCUACUUAAAAGUGCGAAUCCGGCUUAAUUGACGCCCAAUACACCCAUUUCCAGUACAGAAACCAUUUUAUAAUUUCCUAGAAAUAAGAACAAAAUAUCUGAGCGCAUACUUCAGCUCUCAAGAGAGCCAAAAACACAACAAUUUCAUAUAUUUCGAAAAAUACUUUAAAUAAUAUUUUGAGAAAAAAUCCCAGAAAAAUACAGAAUAGAAAAUUGAAAUAGAAGUUCGUAGCCGCAAAAAUCAUUAAAAUUGGACAUCAGCAGUGUCAAAAGAGCCCCUAGAAUUUGCCGUUCCUCACAAAAACGAACAGCUCUAAACAGUCCGCCGAGCCAACUUCGGGAGAGCGUUACUCUCUCCAUAGAACUCCAUCUACUGUCUUCUAAAUGUCUAUGGAAUCCUCAAACAAUAGGGUACAGCUUAGAAUCAAACGAAAGUCCAAAAUACGGAGAAAACAGGUUGGAAAGCAAGCUCGAAAUCCACUUUUCAUAAUGUCUGCAGCUGAUUUCAAAAUGCGAUAUUUCUCAAACGACUCAACCAAAUUUGGUUUUGCAAAAUCCUAUAGCAUCCUAGAGACCUUAGCAAUGAUAGUAUGUAGGAAUUUCGCUCAGUAAACAUAGCCAUUAUGUUCUGCCAUUAACAAGCCUACAAGCUAUCUCUUGCUAGAAAAAGCUUGUAGUAGCUCAUGAUAUAAUCUGCCACUGAGCCCACCCAUUUUUUUUUUCCUGAUCCUUCUCCACCACCCCCUUCAUUUCUUUCAUUUAUUUAAUUGAUUUUUGUGGCAUUUUGGGGGUUUUGUGUCUUCGACCAGAAACAAAGGCAGAGAGAGAGAGAGAGAGAGCUCUGCUCAGGAGGAAACAGAGUAGAGAGGAAGAACGUCAGCUCGAUUGAGAGCUCGGGUGGGUUUAUGGAAGAGGAGGAAGAAUCGAAGAAUCGAGAGAAUAAUUGGGGCAGGGCAGCUGAGAGUGUAGCAAGAGAAGGAGAGAGGGAGCGAGCUGAAAGAGAGAGCGAAAGGGAGCGAGGAGCAGAGAGUCCGGAAUAGAGCUCACUCAAGGAGAAACGAGACUGACCGUGAAGGUUGAGAGUGUAUGGAGAGAGAGCGCUGGAGCUGAGAGUAAGAAAUGAUUUCAAAGGGGAAGAGCUCAGCUGGUACCAAAUUAGAUUAUGGCUAUGUUCUUGAUGUGAAAUUGGAAGUUCGGCUUAGGUGGAGAGAGGCUGGAGGAAGAGUCGUUUUAAUCUUGUUCUGUUGAGAGUCCUGAUUUGAUUAAUUAUUCCUCUCAAUUCCUUGAUCAUGUCUUCUUGUAGAUUAGCUGAGUCUAGAGCUUCGAGAAGUGUCAGCUUCUGUUGGAUUGAAUUCCUUGUUGUUAUGCUUGAUAUGUUAUACUAGGAGCAUGAAAAACCAUUGAUUCUUUUUAUUUUGAUUGCUUUGAGGUUCUUUUCACUGUAGGGACAUAUUAUUCAUGGAUGGUGAUACUUGAGAAGAAAUUUGCUGCUUG